rnacentral:snRNA from 1 species
GGGUGUGAGGGUGCUCUGGCUGUGACAUCUGUUACCCCAUUGAUUGCCAGGGUUGAUUGCAGAUCUGGCUGACUAGGCGGGUGUCCCCUUCCUCCUUCACCGCUUCAUGUGCAUCUCUCCAAAGUUGCACUCUUUGUUGAUGUAUAGAGACCUACUGGUCUUCAUUGGAGGGUAUACGAGUAGCUAGAACCUCCAAACAAGCUCUCAAGGUCAAAAAGGUAGCAGGAUUGACUAAAAAGAAAGGUU